UACGUAGGGUGCAAGCGUUGUCCGGAAUUAUUGGGCGUAAAGAGCUCGUAGGCGGCUUGUCGCGUCGGCUGUGAAAACCUAGGGCUCAACCCCGGGCCUGCAUUCGAUACGGGCAGACUAGAGUUCGGUAGGGGAGUCUGGAAUUCCUGGUGUAGCGGUGAAAUGCGCAGAUAUCAGGAGGAACACCGGUGGCGAAGGCGGGACUCUGGGCCGAUACUGACGCUGAGGAGCGAAAGCGUGGGGAGCAAACAGG
rnacentral:rRNA from 1 species